GACGAACGCUGGCGGCGUGCUUAACCCAUGCAAGUCGAACGGAAAGGCCCUGCUUUUGUGGUGUGCUCGAGUGGCGAACGGGUGAGUAACACGUGCGUAACCUGCCCUUGACUUUGGGAUAAAUUCUGGAAACUGGGGCUACUACCGGAUCGGAGCUCCUGCUGCAUGGUGGGGGUUGGAAAGUUUCGGCGGUCGGGGAUGGACUCGCGGCUUAUCAGCUUGUUGGGGGGGUAGUGGCUUACCACGGCUUUGACGGGUAGCCGGCCUGAGGGGGUGACCGGCCACAUUGGGACUGAGAUACGGCCCAGACUCCUACGGGAGGCAGCAGUGGGGAAUAUUGCACAAUGGGCGGAAGCCUGAUGCAGCAACGCCGCGUGCGGGAUGACGGCCUUCGGGUUGUAAACCGCUUUCGCCUGUGACGAAGCGUGAGGGACGGUAAUGGGUAAAGAAGCACCGGCUAACUACGUG
rnacentral:rRNA from 1 species